rnacentral:piRNA from 1 species
UGAGCUGUGUAAAACUUUGUGGGGCA